rnacentral:rRNA from 1 species
GGAGAACGCUGGCGGCGUGGAUUAGGCAUGCAAGUCGAACGGUAGGAUACCUUCGGGUAUCUGAGAGUGGCGAACGGGUGAGUAACACGUAGGUGAUCUACCCUCAAGAUUGGGACAACCCAGGGAAACUUGGGCUAAUACCGGAUGAAAGCAGCAGUGAUGUUGUUUGAAAGGUGGCGUAAGCUGCCGUUUGGGGAUGAGCCUGCGCUCUAUUAGUUAGUUGGCGGGGUAAAGGCCCACCAAGGCGAUGAUAGAUAGGCGGCCUUAACGGGUGGUCGCCCACACUGGGAUUGAGAUACGGCCCAGACUCCUACGGGAGGCAGCAGUCGAGAAUAGUCUACAAUGGCCGAAAGGCUGAUAGUGCGACGCCGCGUGAACGAAGAAGCCCUUCGGGGUGUAAAGUUCUUUUAUAUGUGAGCAGUGCUUUCUAUGUGAACAGCAUGGGGAGAGAGAUAUUAGCAUAUGAAUAAGCAACGGCUAACUCCGUG